rnacentral:rRNA from 1 species
AGAGUUUGAUCCUGGCUCAGGAUAAACGCUGGCGGCGUGCCUAACACAUGCAAGUCGAACGCUCUCGGGCGACCGAGAGAGUGGCGGACGGGUGAGGAACACGUGGGUUAUCUACCUUGAGGUGAGGAAUACCGGCGAGAAAUCGCCGACAAGACCGCAUACGCUCGGGCAACCGAGGAAAGUCGCAAGACGCCACAAGA